CCUACGGGUGGCAGCAGUAGGGAAUAUUGCUCAAUGGGGGAAACCCUGAAGCAGCAACGCCGCGUGAGGGAAGAAGGUACAGCGUAUCGUAAACCUCUUUUGUCAGGAAACAAAGGCGGGGACUAGUCCCCGGAUGAGGGUACCUGAAGAAAAAGCAUCGGCUAACUCCGUGCCAGCAGCCGCGGUAAUACGGAGGAUGCGAGCGUUAUCCGGCUUUAUUGGGUGUAAAGGGUGCGCAGGCGGCCUGUUAAGUCAGCGGUAAAAGCCCGGGGCUCAACCCCGGCGAGCCGUUGAAACUGGAGGGCUGGAGUUGGAGAGAAGUACGCGGAAUGCGCGGUGUAGCGGUGAAAUGCUUAGAUAUCGCGCAGAACCCCGAUGGCGAAGGCAGCGUACCGGCUCCACACUGACGCUGAGGCACGAAAGCGUGGGUAUCGAACAGGAUUAGAUACCCCUGUAGUC
rnacentral:rRNA from 1 species